GUGUGGAAGCACAGCAAUGUGUGAAGCUUACCGUUACUAAUAGCUCGAUCGACUUCUUCGUUC
rnacentral:rRNA from 1 species